rnacentral:rRNA from 1 species
GACGAACGCUGGCGGCGCGCCUAACACAUGCAAGUCGAACGAGCGAGAGAGAGCUUGCUUUCUCGAGCGAGUGGCGAACGGGUGAGUAACGCGUGAGGAACCUGCCUCGAAGAGGGGGACAACAGUUGGAAACGACUGCUAAUACCGCAUAAGCCCACGACUCGGCAUCGAGCAGAGGGAAAAGGAGCAAUCCGCUUUGAGAUGGCCUCGCGUCCGAUUAGCUAGUUGGUGAGGUAAUGGCCCACCAAGGCGACGAUCGGUAGCCGGACUGAGAGGUUGAACGGCCACAUUGGGACUGAGACACGGCCCAGACUCCUACGGGAGGCAGCAGUGGGGAAUAUUGCACAAUGGGGGAAACCCUGAUGCAGCGACGCCGCGUGGAGGAAGAAGGUCUUCGGAUUGUAAACUCCUGUUGUUGAGGAAGAUAAUGACGGUACUCAACAAGGAAGUGACGGCUAACUACGUGCCAGCAGCCGCGGUAAAACGUAGGUCACAAGCGUUGUCCGGAA